UAUAACGGUCCUAAGGUAGCGAAAUUCCUUGUCGGGUAAGUUCCGACCUGCACGAAUGGCGUAAUGAUGGCCAGGCUGUCUCCACCCGAGACUCAGUGAAAUUGAACUCGCUGUGAAGAUGCAGUGUACCCGCGGCAAGACGGAAAGACCCCGUGAACCUUUACUAUAGCUUGACACUGAACAUUGAGCCUUGAUGUGUAGGAUAGGUGGGAGGCUUUGAAGUGUGGACGCCAGUCUGCAUGGAGCCGACCUUGAAAUACCACCCUUUAAUGUUUGAUGUUCUAACGUUGACCCGUGAUCCGGGUUGCGGACAGUGUCUGGUGGGUAGUUUGACUGGGGCGGUCUCCUCCUAAAGAGUAACGGAGGAGCACGAAGGUUGGCUAAUCCUGGUCGGACAUCAGGAGGUUAGUGCAAUGGCAUAAGCCAGCUUGACUGCGAGCGUGACGGCGCGAGCAGGUGCGAAAGCAGGUCAUAGUGAUCCGGUGGUUCUGAAUGGAAGGGCCAUCGCUCAACGGAUAAAAGGUACUCCGGGGAUAACAGGCUGAUACCGCCCAAGAGUUCAUAUCGACGGCGGUGUUUGGCACCUCGAUGUCGGCUCAUCACAUCCUGGGGCUGAAGUAGGUCCCAAGGGUAUGGCUGUUCGCCAUUUAAAGUGGUACGCGAGCUGGGUUUAGAACGUCGUGAGACAGUUCGGUCCCUAUCUGCCGUGGGCGCUGGAGAACUGAGGGGGGCUGCUCCUAGUACGAGAGGACCGGAGUGGACGCAUCACUGGUGUUCGGGUUGUCAUGCCAAUGGCACUGCCCGGUAGCUAAAUGCGGAAGAGAUAAGUGCUGAAAGCAUCUAAGCACGAAACUUGCCCCGAGAUGAGUUCUCCCUGACUCCUUGAGAGUCCUGAAGGAACGUUGAAGACGACGACGUUGAUAGGCCGGGUGUGUAAGCGCAGCGAUGCGUUGAGCUAACCGGUACUAAUGAACCGUGAGG
rnacentral:rRNA from 1 species